CCAAAGGCUCUUUUCAGAGCCACCGCACUUGGCUUGAAAGACCUGU
rfam:Nomascus leucogenys chromosome X, whole genome shotgun sequence.